rnacentral:lncRNA from 1 species
CAGAAUUAAAGGCUACACAAUUUAAUUAAGAAACUUUUUUCCAAAGCAAGAUAUUUUUAAUAUUAAAUAAAAAAUUAUCAUAUACAAUAAAAUAAAUAAAAUAAAAUUGUUGGGAUUUGAUACCCAAUAACUCAUCAGGCAGUGAUGUUAAAUCAUUAGUACUCAAUCGCAUCGACCAAAUGAUUGAAGUGAAAUAACGACACCUCAAAUGGAACAACUCAAACGUAUAACAAGUGUGAGCCAUUUGAAGUAGCCUAAUUCAUUUAGAGUUGCUCAUGGCCAAACUCCUAACUCCUUAGAUGGCUUUUGUACCUAGCCCACUUAUUAAUUGCUUUAUUGGCUUGGCCCAUUAUUUAACCUAAAUUUGCCAUAACUAAUAUAUAUUGGUUAGCCCCUUGUGACCGUGUGAAUUGUAAAAUCCUUGAGAGAUAACCUCGCUGCGUUCUUCUCUUCUGCUUCAUGCUACUUUCUGCCUUAGCUUCUUCUUCAUCUAGUUUUCUUCAGCCUUUGUUGCUAUCACCUAUAUGGCUACAAUAACACCUUCUUUUAUGCAUCCUUUUGUGGAUAAUAAAAGCGAUUGGAGUGGGUGAAAUUAUAGGUGAUUUUGGGUUGGUUCUUUGUG